rnacentral:lncRNA from 1 species
GCUGCAUAUGGUGCAUGUUACAAAGUGGCUGUGUCGUGAAGUUUGCAGCCAGGGGAGGUGCCUCUCUCGCUUUCUUUUUCGCACUUUUUCUUUUUUUUCCUUCACAGCUGCUCUCUGGAGGCUUCUUACUGCUAAUGUUCCAGAGAAACACCAGCAAUAAAGAGCACAAUGUUGCAAUCUGUUUUUGCAAUUCUUGCUUGGAUUUGAUCGGACAUCGUUAAUGACAAAUGACAACGGGCCUGUUGCCUCCCUGGAGCACCUUCCUUGUGGGGAAAAGGAUGAGUCUUCUCUGAAGCAGACCCGGAUUCCUCCGUCCUCGGAGCCCCCCAGGAGGCAGCGCGGAGCCAAGGGGGAGAGUUUCCUCGGC